GAUGAACGCUAGCGACAGGCCUAACACAUGCAAGUCGAGGGGCAGCACAUGAGUAGCAAUACGAUGGUGGCGACCGGCGCACGGGUGAGUAACACGUAUGCAACCUACCUGUAAGAGGGGAAUAACCCGGAGAAAUUCGGACUAAUACCGCAUGAUACCGCUGAACUGCAUGGUUUAGUGGUUAAACAUUUAUGGCUUACAGAUGGGCAUGCGUAUGAUUAGCUAGUUGGUGAGGUAACGGCUCACCAAGGCAACGAUCAUUAGGGGUUCUGGGAGGAAGGUCCCCAACACUGGUACUGGGACACGGACCAGACUCCUACGGGAGGCAGCAGUGAGGAAUAUUGGUCAAUGGGCGAGAGCCUGAACCAGCCAAGUCGCGUGAAGGAAGAAGGUUCUAUGGAUUGUAAACUUCUUUUGUAAGGGAAUAAAAAAGAGUACGUGUACUCUAUUGUAUGUACUUUACGAAUAAGGAUCGGCUAACUCCGUGCCAGCCGCCGCUGUAAAAC
rnacentral:rRNA from 1 species